UGAUGUGUGAUCAGAAUUUGUUUAAUGAGGCACUGCCUAGGGUUCCUACGGAUUCGUUCUCCCAUAAUGCUGUCUUGGGCAUUGGAUUGCCAUGGUUUAAUGCUCUAGUUUCUCAAGCUGGGUAUUAUAUGCAUAAUGGUUUUCCUUCAGUCUCAUCUUCUGGUUCUAUUUCUAUCGUUCCCACUCCUCAGUCUUCGUUUGUUUCUUCUCUUUUUUUCGAGCUAUCUGAGUGUUUUCUCUGCUGCUAUGGGGAGAGAGGUCUGUUGGUAUCCCGACUCAGGUGCCACGCAUCAUAUCACGAAUGAUCGUGUCAUUCUUCAGUCUCAGUCUCCGUAUACAGGACUCUCAGACGCAGGAGGUGUUGCUGCGACGGAGGCGCACUACUGAUGGUUCGUAUGAAUUUGAUGUCCAGCGAGGAAGGUUCCGGCGUUGGGGGCUCUACUGAGCUCAAUUCGUAUCGGACUCAGGGGUCUCUUGAGUUGUGGCAUCGUCGUCUUGGGCACCCUUCUUUGAGUGUUCUUAAGACUGUCUUAAUUCUUGUAAUAUUCCUGUUAAUAAUAAUAAGAUGUCUGUUGUUUGUCCUUUUUGUUUACAAGGUAAGGCUCAUAAAUUGUCCUUUUCUUUGUCUGAGACAAUUUAUACUUCCCCUUUUCAUUUGGUGGUGUUUGAUGUAUGGGGGCCAGCCCUUGUUGCCUCGGAUGGUUUUUGCUAUUAUGUUUCCUUUAUAGAUGUCUAUAGUCGACAUACUUGGCUUUAUUUGCUAAAAAGAAAAUCAUAUUUUGCUCAAUGUUUUGUCAAUUUUAUAAAUUGGUUGAAGUUCAAUUUGGUGUUCAGAUUAAAGCUUUACAGUCCGAUGGAGGUGGGGAGUUUCAGGCUCUUUUUCAAUGGUUUGCGACACCUGGAGUACAACAUCGGAUAUCGUGUCCUUUUACCUCAGAGCAGAAUGUAAGGCAGAGCGUAAGCAUCGUUACAUCGUUGAAAUGGGACUCAUUUCCUUGCUCAGUCAUCCUUGUCCAUUAAGUUUUGGAGUCAUGCGUUCACUAUUGAUGUGUUUCUCAUUAACCUUUUGAGGUUCUAAGUAAGAAGUCUCCUCAUGAGGUGUUGUAUGGUGUAAAGCCAGAUUAUUCAUUUAUCAAAACUUUUGGUUGUGCCUGCUAUCCCUAUCUUCGUCCUUUCAGUUGUCACAAGUUUGGGCUUCGAUCAAAGGAGUAUGUUUUUCUAAGUUAUAGUGUCUCAGAAAGGGUAUAAAUGUUUUGAUGAUAAUGGUCACAUUUUUAUUUCCAGACAUGUUUAUUUGAUGAGUCAGUUUUUCCUAGUACAAGCAAUUUUCAGACUUUUAAGGAUGCAGGGGAUGAUGUGUUUGUUAUUGUUCGUCUGGGCUUGGUUUCUAUACCUGAUGCUUCAAGUGAUACUGGUGUUGAGUUUUAUCCUAAUGUUCAUGUGGAUAGCUUUCCUGCUGAUCUGUAUGAUCCUUCUAAUGAUUUAUCUGUGCAUUUUUUGCGACAAUGUGUUUCUGGUUUUCCUGGUACUCCGAAUUUCCCUGAUGGUUUAUCUGGUGAAGUUGAUGAACGUUCUCUAGGGCCUCAGUCGUUAGUACCUGAUAGUUCUGCAGCUACUGGUGUUGAUGUUGUUCGGAGUGAUGCUGCAGUUGGAACUUCUUCGCAUCCAUCUGGUAAUGAGCAAGGUGACGUGUCUAAUAGACAUCACAUGGUGACUAGGAGCAAGAAUGGAAUUCAAAAACCUAGAGUGUUUCUUGCAGCAAAAACGGUUACAGUCUGAAGUUGAACCCUACCACCAUUGAGGAAGAUUUUCUUAAUCCUCAUUGGGAAGCAGGUGCACAAGUUGAAUAUGAUUCGCUUUUGAAGAAUAACACCUUGACAUCGACUGAGCUGCCUUCUCAUUUUUGAAAAGUUGGUUGUAAGUGGAUUUUUAAACUUAAGGAAAAUGUUGAUGGUAUUAUUGCUCGCUACAAAGCUCAUCUUGUUGCUAAGGGGAAUUUACAACAGGCUGGUCGUGAUUAUGAUGAAACCUUUAGCUCUGUUGUCAAGCCAGCUACUGUUCGGACUAUUCUGUCCAUUGCCAUCGACAGAUAGAUGUUAGUAAUUCUUUUCUGAAUGGAGAUCUCACCGAGGAACUCUACAUGUCUCAGUCACCUGGUUAUGAGGUGGGUGACAAACGUUAUGGCCUGUCGCUUGAACAAGGCCAUCUGUAGGCUCAAGCAGGCUCCUCGGGCUUGGUUUGAGAAGUUGAGAAAUUAUUUAAUUACUGUAAGCUUUGCUUUAUCAAAGUCAAAUGCCUCUUUGUUUAUGAAAUGUGUUGAUAACAAGUUGGUGUAUCUCUUAGUAUGUGGAUGAUAUUAUUGUUACUGGGAAUAAUUUUGCUGAGAUUGAAACAAUUAUGUAUGAUCAUGACAAAGUUUUUUCGUUGAAAGAUCUUGGCCAGGUGAGUUAUUUUUUGGGUAUUCAGGUUACCUAUUCUUCUCAGCGAGUUUUUCUUAAUCAGCAUAAGUAUGUAAAAGAGUUGUUGUGUAAGUAUGGUUUUGAUGGUGCCCAAGGGUUGCCUACACCUAUGGUUUCGGGCUGUAAAUUGUCUACUCAUAAGGGGUCUCCUCUCUUGAAUCCCUCAGAGUAUAGAAGAAUUGUAGGAGCUCUACAGUAUGUUACUAUUACUUGGCCCGAUAUAUCGUUUGCUGUAAAUCGUGUUUGUCAAUUCAUGCAGGCUCCUCUUGAUGAGCAUUUUCAUGUUGCUAAUAGAAUCUAAAGGUAUCUUCAGGGCACUCUUGACUUUGGGCUACGUUUUACUAAGUCUUCUCGGUUGUCUAUUACAUAGUUUGAUAAUGCUGACUGGGGUUCAGACAUUGAUGAUCGUCGUUCUACCAAUGGCUACUGCAUUUAUUUUGGAGGUAACCCUGUGUCCUGGAUGUCGAAAAAGCAACCAGUGGUCUGUCGGUCUACUGCUAAGGCAGAAUACAGAAGUGUUGCUUGUGUCACCACUGAAGUCAUCUGGCUUGAGUCUUUACUUCAAGAGUUGCAUGUUCAACCUGGUGGAACUGUUGUGCUAUUGUGUGAUAAUUUGAGUGUAAUUGAUAUUUCUUCCAAUCCGGUUAUGCAUUCGAAGUUUAAACAUGUAGAGAUGAAUUUGUUUUCAUUCGGGAACGUGUUGUUGAAGCAACUAUUGGUUAAUGAAGUUCCUGCCAGUGAACAAGUUGCAGAUAUCAUGACUCAGCCGUUGUCUGGAGUGACUUUUGCUUGAUUUCAGGAUAAACUCAAUGUGCUACCUAUUGCUAUAGCAGAUAUUGUUUAGCGGCGUUUGAUGCAUAUGGUUGUUCAUUUUGUGUGUUUGUGUUUUUGUUGUUUCUGCUUGUCUUUGUUUUCUGCAGGUUGUUUUCUUUGAGGUUGAUUGUUUUUGUUAAGAGAAGAAGAAACUAGGGUGAAUGUAAGGGUUCACUGAGUGCAGCUAGUAUGGUAGCGUACUGUUAGGGAUUUUUUGUACUGCACCAGUGAGUUGGCAUGCUGUUAGUGAUUGCUUUCCGUUAUCAGUCAUUAACAGUUACUCUCCUCUUGUAUAAAUUCACCUGGUUCUCUUUGAGAAUAUUACAAGUUAAUAUCAAUAAAAUCUAUUGGGUGUCGUCUCUUUUUUA